rnacentral:misc_RNA from 1 species
UGCAAGUAAAUUAAUUUUUAGUUAGGUGACUAAGAAUUUACAUUCAAUAAUUUUCUCCUUGUCGAUUAAGUUCAAUAAUUGGAUGAUUGCUGUAUGUCUCUAUGCGUGCUAAAUUUGUGAUGAUUAAAGAGGUGGUGUGCCCUAAUUCAUGAGUGGGACGCUAUCCAUACCAAACAGACGCUAUCCAUACCAAACAGACACCACCACUGCUGUCUGAAUAUCUCCCAUCACAAUAAUUAUAUAUUUUUAAAGGUAUCAUAAAAGAUAAUUUCUUUUAAAAUUAUA